GCUCAGUAACACGUGGAUAACUUGCCCUUGGGUCCGGGAUAACCCCUGAGAAAUUGGGGACAAUACCGGAUAGGGCAUCGAUAGCUGGAAUGCGCGAUGUCCAGAAGCUGAGGCGCCCAAGGAUAGGUCUGCGGCCGAUUAGGUUGUUGUUGAUGUAAUGGAUCAACAAGCCUGCAAUCGGUACGGGUUGUGAGAGCAAGAGCCCGGAGAUGGGUUCUGAGAAAAGAACCCAGGUCCUACGGGACGCAUCAGGCGCGAAAACUUUACAAUGUGCGAAAGCACGAUAAGGGAACUCUGAGUGCCUCCUAUGGAGGCUGUUCAGGUGUCUAAAAAGCACUUGAAGUAAGGGCUGGGUAAGACCGGUGCCAGCCGCCGCGGUAACACCGGCAGCCCAAGUGGUAGCCACGAUUAUUGGGUCUAAAGCGUCCGUAGCCGGCCAGGUAAGUCCUUUGGGAAAUUUAACCGCUCAACGGUUAAGCUUUCAGGGAAUACUGCUUGGCUUGGGACCGGGAGAGGUCAGAGGUACUUCAAGGGUAGGGGUGAAAUCCGUUAAUCCUUGAGGGACCACCAGUAGCGAAGGCGUCUGACCAGACCGGGUCCGACGGUGAGGGACGAAGGCUAGGGUCGCGAACCGGAUUAGAUACCCGGGUAGUCCUAGC
rnacentral:rRNA from 1 species